rnacentral:piRNA from 1 species
GGGGCUGGAGGUGAGCUUGGUGACAGUUAA